UCUCAUGCUGUGAUUUGCUAUCAAAAUGUUUGACAUUUGGAGAUUUCUGUAAAUUGCAUUUUUUGGCGAUUGGAUGGUGAGCACGGUGGUCUAUGGGGAAAAAGCUUUUUUGGCCGCAGGGGGAUUUUUGCGCUGCAAUACCGCAAGAGUCCACUAGGAAAAAUUGGCUGCAAGGCUGAGCGGAGGCGCCCAAUCCAGCUCUUAUUAUACAUCCAUGUAAUUUACCCAUGUUCCCUAAACGCCUCGCAUGCAGGCUAUCAGUAGACACUACAAUUUACCAAUGCUCCCUAAACACCCCACACUCAGAAUAUCUGGAGACUACAAUUUUGUGUUGAGCUGAAGUUGAUUGGAGGAACUGCAGUGCCCGUUCAAAACGUGCCUGAGACAUCCAGCACUAAGUCUUGAACAUACAUGCCAAGUUUCGUUCACAGUAAAGUUACACAGUUCAAUAGUAGAGCUUAAGUCGUUUAAACGCUUUUAAGUCAUUAUCACUACGGAUGUAAUCCCACCUCCGACCACAAUGUGGGUUGCAAUGGCAGAAUGGCGCUGUCUCUAUUUCCGCUCGUUAACUUCACAGGCAGAAGAAGUAAAUCAACGUUGUAGAAGCAACUUGUUUAUGAGGGCAAGUGAGACCUCUAAAAUGUACAGGGACCAAGGGAGCAGGUGUAUGAUAAAAUUAACGGAGUUUGGAAUUUAUCCAGUGAUCAGGUACAGGGUAACCUUGGAACAUUUUUUAUCACCAACAUUCGGAUUGUGUGGCAUGCCAAUAUGAUCGAGAGCUUCAACGUCAGCAUUCCUUACCUCCAGAUUAUACGGACAACACACUUAAGAACAUCAGCUAUCCUACCUGACCUGUCAACUAAAGCUGAAAACUGCACCUAAAAUGCUGAGUUGCAAAUAUAUUUGCUUAUUUAGUAGAAACAGGGUUCUCCACGCAUCUUGCAACAAAAAGCAGCUGAAUCAGGUGCUUCUCAGUUUGAGGACAGCAGACUUCAAAAAACAGAAGAGACUGGAGCACACUGAUUAAUUUGCAGCCUUUAAUUGUUCAAACAGACUAACAUUUCGACACUACUGUGUCUUCAUCAGAGUCAGGGUGGGGGGUCACCCUGACUCUGAUGAAGAUGUUUUUUGAUAUUUGCUAAUUUGUUGUUCAGUCACAACCAUUUGAGGGAACAGAUACUGUAAUAUAUGUAGUAGUCUUAAUAACUCUGACCUAUUCCCAAAAUUAUGUAGUAUCCCUGUUUAAUGUUAUAACAAAAACACAGACCACUAUAAGGUGCUCUUCAGGAGCCAAACUCUUAUUCCAUGGUUGUUUUGUAUAUUUCUGUUAAUACUUUUUACAACACACAAGUCAUAUCAGAAUUACAGAAUUUACUGUUCACAAACCAUUCAGUACAAUAGAAACGCCACAUUUGUGAGCCACCUGUAGAUUGGUGCACUAUACAUCCUUAGAGCAGGACAAAUGUCUCAAACAAUGUAGUGACUCUUUUCAGCAGCAACUCAGGACUCCUAAUGCAAGUGUGUCUGUUGUAAAAUCAUGUAUUCUGUGGUGUAUGGUGUAUGUAUUCUGUUUCCUCCCUUUUUUCCCCUAAUGUCUGUUUGUGAAUUACUGUGUCAUUGUUAUUGAUGUCUUUUUUCUCUCUACGCUACCAUAAAUGUGUUUGAUUACUACACUGUUCAGGGGAUCUUGUUGUCAUAGCACUGUUUGUCCUAAAAAUAAUUCCAGAUAACUCACCAUGGAACAAGUCCCCGAUGAUGUGGAAACUGAGCCUGACGAGCAGACUGAUGCUUUCACUCAACAAGACCGUGAGCCAGUUUUUUCUGAGGAGCUGGGUCUCGCCGUUGAGAAGCUGAAGGAGGGCUUCACACUUCAAGGACUGUGGGAAGUCAUGGGCUAAAAUAAGACAACAGUCUAUUAUUUAUACGUAGGUUAGGUUAAAAGUUGUACAGUUUAUGCUCAGAAACUUUUUCAUAAUAAGAAAAAAUUAUAUAUAUGUAGGUAAUAUUUAUUUUGGGGUUACUUCUAUAAAAUAUAUUUUCUUGUGAAUAGAAUGUGAAAUA